rfam:Triticum aestivum genome assembly, contig: Triticum_aestivum_CS42_TGACv1_scaffold_576774_7BL
CUACUACUCCCUCCGUCCGAAAAUACUUGUCAUUGAAAUGGAUGUAUCUAGAUGUAUUUUAGUUCUAGACACAUCCAUUUUGAUGACAAGUAAUUCCGUACGGAGGGAGUAUUAU